rnacentral:misc_RNA from 1 species
CAAGAAGAAAAGGCUGCAAUGCAGAUGGAGGCUUUGCAGUAUCAGAGAAUGAUGGAAGAGCAAUCGGAAUAUGACCAGGAAGCUUUGCAGCUUUUGAAUGAACUUAUGGUAAAGAGGGAGAAAGAGAGAGCAGAGCUAGAAAAAGAGCUCGAAGUAUAUCGAAAGAAGGUGCAAGAUUACGAGGCAAAAGAGAAAUUGACGAUGUUGAAAAGAAGGAAAGAAAGGGGCACAAGUGGAACUUCCUCAGCAUCUUGUAGCGCAAUGCUGAGGAUAGUGAUGGACUAUCUGUUGACUUGAAUCAUGAAGAGAAAGAAGAAGAUGGUUUCGAUAACCAUAAAGAAACUGGCGACCAGAACACCCCCGUCGAUGCAGUUCUAUACUUGGAAGAGUCAUUGGCUAAUUUUGAGGUGGA